rnacentral:rRNA from 1 species
AUUGAACGCUGGCGGCAUGCCUUACACAUGCAAGUCGAACGGCAGCACGGGUGCUUGCACCUGGUGGCGAGUGGCGAACGGGUGAGUAAUACAUCGGAACGUACCUUAUAGUGGGGGAUAACGCAGCGAAAGCUGUGCUAAUACCGCAUACGCCCUGAGGGGGAAAGCGGGGGAUCGCAAGACCUCGCGCGAUUAGAGCGGCCGAUGCCUGAUUAGCUUGUUGGUGGGGUAAAAGCACACCAAGGCGACGAUCAGUAGCUGGUCUGAGAGGACGAUCAGCCACACUGGGACUGAGACACGGCCCAGACUCCUACGGGAGGCAGCAGUGGGAAUUUUGGACAAUGGGGGCAACCCUGAUCCAGCAAUGCCGCGUGAGUGAAGAAGGCCUUCGGGUUGUAAAGCUCUUUUGUCAGGGAAGAAACACCGGCUCUAACACAGUCUGGGAAUGACGGUACCUGAAGAAUAAGCACCGGCUAACUACGUGCCAGCCGCCGCAGUAA